rnacentral:rRNA from 1 species
CCUACGGGGCGCAGCAGUGAGGAAUAUUGGUCAAUGGGCGGAAGCCUGAACCAGCCAAGUCGCGUGAGGGAAUAAGGCCCUACGGGUCGUAAACCUCUUUUGCCGGGGAGCAAGGGCCGGGACGCGUCCCGGCCCGGAGAGUACCCGGAGAAAAAGCAUCGGCUAACUCCGUGCCAGCAGCCGCGGUAAUACGGAGGAUGCAAGCGUUAUCCGGAAUUAUUGGGCGUAAAGAGGGAGCAGGCGGCAGCAAAG